rnacentral:rRNA from 1 species
AGUGAACGCUGGCGGUAGGCCUAGCACAUGCAAGUCGAACGGCAGCACAGUAAGAACUUGCUCUUACGGGUGGCGAGUGGCGGACGGGUGAGGAAUACAUCGGAAUCUACUUUUUCGUGGGGGAUAACGUAGGGAAACUUACGCUAAUACCGCAUACGACCUACGGGUGAAAGCAGGGGAUCUUCGGACCUUGCGCGAUUGAAUGAGCCGAUGUCGGAUUAGCUAGUUGGCGGGGUAAAGGCCCACCAAGGCGACGAUCCGUAGCUGGUCUGAGAGGAUGAUCAGCCACACUGGAACUGAGACACGGUCCAGACUCCUACGGGAGGCAGCAGUGGGGAAUAUUGGACAAUGGGCGCAAGCCUGAUCCAGCCAUACCGCGUGGGUGAAGAAGGCCUUCGGGUUGUAAAGCCCUUUUGUUGGGAAAGAAAAGCAGCAGGUUAAUACCCCGCUGUUCCGACGGUACCCAAAGAAUAAGCACCGGCUAACUUCGUG